rnacentral:rRNA from 1 species
UACAUGUGGGGCAAGCGUUGUUCGGAAUCACUGGGCAUAAAGGGUGCGUAGGCGGUGGUGCACGUCCUGGGUGAAAUCCUUCGGCCCAACCGGAGGUCUGCCUGGGAUACGGCAUCACUGGAGUGCGUGAGGGGUGACUGGAACGCGUGGUGUAGCGGUGAAAUGCGUAGAUAUCACGCGGAAGGCCAACGGCGAAGGCAGGUCACUGGCACGCAACUGACGCUGAGUGCACGAAAGCGUGGGGAGCAAACAGG